ACUUAUCUGACCAAUUUGAUGGAUUAUAUUUUGAUUAGACUGCUAAGUGAUUCGAGUUGACCCAUGCCAUUAAGGUUGAUUAGUAUGACUGAUUUAGGUGCCAUUUCAACCAGCAUGAUCCUAAUCCAAUUCAAUGACUUGGUGAAGUCGGUGAGAGGAUGGUGAUUUACAGGUUGAUUUCUUCUCUUCUCUUAAUUCAUAAAUUAAAUCUUCUAAAUUAUUAGGUUCCAAAAAUAAAAUAGUGAUAGUGAUAACUAAAUCAUAGCCUCCCAUUAAGUUGGGUGAUAAUGGAUUC
rnacentral:lncRNA from 1 species